UGGCUCAGUAGUAGAGCGCUUGCCUUGCAUGCAUGAGGCCGUGGGUUCGAUUCCUC
rnacentral:tRNA from 1 species